AAAGCAUCAGGACAGAUCUUCACCAUCACUGACAUCAGACCUGAACACAGUGGGAAUUAUUACUGUGAAGCCCAGAACAGAAGAGGACGCCAUAACUCCACCUUACAUCUGAUUGUUGUAGCAGGGAAUUCAAGAGUAAUAAUGAAUAUCAUCAGGUUGACUCUGUUGGGCUUGAUGCUGAUUCCUCUUCUUCUCCUGAUUCUGUGGACGAGGAAGAAGAAAACUCUGAGCUCCACCACUGAACAACAACAACUUGUAGAGACGAUAGAGGUGAGAGCGAGAACUUCAGUCAUAAAUGCUCUGAAAGAGAAGAAGUUGAUGUUUAAAAUACAAUUUGCUGAAAAGAAACCAGAAAGUAAUUUACUUUUAAACUUCAUUAAACAAAUUUUUAAUAAAAUGUUAUUUGUAGAUUUCAUGAAUGAAGUCCAAUGAACUUCAUCUUUUCGUCUCUCCCCAUCAGUUGGACACAACAGGAGACACAGAGCAGCAGGAAGACACGGUGUGAAGUCCAGUCAGGUUAGAGCCUCCUGCGUCCAAUAAAACAGGCCGACUUCAGAUUUAUAGUCACAGCUACAAACAUAACUUUACACAAGUUUCUGUGAUUUCCUUCAGAUGAAGUUGAACCAGAGGAGGGACUCACCUGAUGGAAACAAAGUAGUACGACAUUGAAAUAUUACAGU
rnacentral:lncRNA from 15 species